rnacentral:rRNA from 1 species
UAGUCCACGCCGUAAACGAUGAAUACUAGGUGCAGCGGGUAUCGACCCCUGCUGUGCCGUAGCUAACGCGUUAAGUAUUCCGCCUGGGGAGUACGGCCGCAAGGCUAAAACUCAAAGAAAUUGACGGGGGCCCGCACAAGCGGUGGAGCAUGUGGUUUAAUUCGAUGCAACGCGCAGAACCUUACCUGGGCUUGAAAUCCCACGCCAAUCCUGGAGACAGGACUUUUCUUCUUUGAAGAACGUGGUGACAGGUGCUGCAUGGCUGUCGUCAGCUCGUGUCGUGAGAUGUUGGGUUAAGUCCCGUAACGAGCGCAACCCUUGUUGUUAGUUGCCAUCAUUAAGUUGGGCACUCUAGCGAGACUGCCGGUGUCAAACCGGAGGAAGGUGGGGAUGACGUCAAGUCCUCAUGGCCCUUAUGUCCAGGGCUACACACGUGCUACAAUGGUCGGUACAAAGAGCAGCCAACUAGUGAUAGUGAGCAAAUCUCAAAAACCGGUCUCAGUACGG